CCUACGGGUGGCUGCAGUCGAGAAUCAUUCACAAUGGGGGAAACCCUGAUGGUGCGACGCCGCGUGGGGGAAUGAAGGUCUUCGGAUUGUAAACCCCUGUCAUGUGGGAGCAAAUUAAAAAGAUAGUACCACAAGAGGAAGAGACGGCUAACUCUGUGCCAGCAGCCGCGGUAAUACAGAGGUCUCAAGCGUUGUUCGGAAUCACUGGGCGUAAAGCGUGCGUAGGCUGUUUCGUAAGUCGUGUGUGAAAGGCGCGGGCUCAACCCGCGGACGGCACAUGAUACUGCGAGACGAGAGUAAGGGAGGGGGAACCGGAAUUCUCGGUGUAGCAGUGAAAUGCGUAGAUAUCGAGAGGAACACUCGUGGCGAAGGCGGGUUCCUGGACAUUAACUGACGCUGAGGCACGAAGGCCAGGGGAGCGAAAGGGAUUAGAUACCCGUGUAGUC
rnacentral:rRNA from 1 species